CAGUCGCCGCGGUAAUACGGAGGGUGCAAGCGUUAAUCGGAAUUACUGGGCGUAAAGCGCACGCAGGCGGUCUGACAAGUCAGAUGUGAAAUCCCCGGGCUUAACCUGGGAACUGCAUUUGAAACUGUCAGGCUGGAGUCUUGUAGAGGGGGGUGGAAUUCCAGGUGUAGCAGUGAAAUGCGUAGAGAUCUGGAGGAAUACCGGUGGCGAAGGCGGCCCCCUGGACAAAGACUGACGCUCAGGUGCGAAAGCGUGGGGAGCAAACAGGAUUAGAUACCCCAGUAGUCCCUGUCUCUUAUAC
rnacentral:rRNA from 1 species